GGGGGGCGGGGGGGGGGGGGGGGGCGCAGGGGAGGCGGGCGGGGGGGGCGGGGGCGGCGGCGGGCGGGUGAGGGACACGCGGGAACGGACCCGGCGGGUCGGAGUAACGCUGGGAAGCGCGCGCUAAGACCGGAGACGCCCUUGUGGGGGAAGGGUUACUGCCGCAGGAUCGGCCCACGUCGGAUUAGCUAGUUGGGGGGGUAAUGGCCUACCCAGGCGACGAUCAGUAGCUGGUAUGAGAGGCUGGUCCGCCACACCGGGACUGAGACACGGCCCAGACUCCUACGGGAGGCAGCAGUGGGGGAUAUUGGACCAUGGGCGCAAGCCUGAUCCAGCCAGGCCGCGUGAGUGAUGAAGGCCUUAGGGUUGUAAAGCUCUUUUGUCCGGGACGAUAAUGACGGUACCGGAAGAAUAAGCCCCGGCUAACUUCGUG
rnacentral:rRNA from 1 species